rnacentral:pre_miRNA from 1 species
UGAGUAUUACAUCAGGUACUGAUUCUUUUGUUGGUUUAGUACAUUUUGUAAUGCUUGCA